rnacentral:rRNA from 1 species
ACUCCUACGGGAGGCAGCAGUGGGGAAUAUUGCACAAUGGGGGAAACCCUGAUGCAGCCAUGCCGCGUGUAUGAAGAAGGCCUUCGGGUUGUAAAGUACUUUCAGUCGUGAGGAAGACAUUGUAGUUAAUAGCUGCAGUGUUUGACGUUAGCGACAGAAGAAGCACCGGCUAACUCC